rnacentral:rRNA from 1 species
UCCGGUUGAUCCUGCCGGACCUGACUGCUGUCGGAUUGGUACUAAGCCAUGCGAGUCAUUGUAGCAAUACAAGGCGGACGGCUCAGUAACACGUAGUCAACGUAACUCGUGGACGUGGAUAACCUCGGGAAACUGAGAAUAAACCACGAUAGAUCAUAGUGCCUGGAAUGGCUUAUGGUCCAAACAGUUUACUGCCAUGGGAUGGGACUGCGGCCUAUCAGCUUGUUGGUGAGGUAAUGGCCCACCAAGGCGAUUACAGGUACGGGCUCUGAGAGGAGAAGCCCGGAGAUGGGUACUGAGACACGGACCCAGGCCCUAUGGGGCGCAGCAGGCGAGAAACCUUAGCAAUGUGCGAAAGCACGACUGGGUCAGUCCGAGUGAUUCCUGAUAAAGGAGUCUUUUGCCUGUCCUAAAAGCACAGGUGAAUAAGGGGUGGGCAAGUCUGGUGUCAGCCGCCGCGGUAAUACCAGCACCUCGAGUGGUCAGGACGUUUAUUGGGCCUAAAGCAUCCGUAGCCGGCUCUGCAAGUCUUCGGUUAAAUCCACCUGCUCAACAGAUGGGCCGCUGGAGAUACUACAGAGCUAGGGAGUGGGAGAGGCAGACGGUAUUCAGUGGGUAGGGGUAAAAUCCUCUGAUCCAUUGAGGACCACCAGUGGCGAAGGCGGUCUGCCAGAACACGUUCGACGGUGAGGGAUGAAAGCUGGGGGAGCAAACCGGAUUAGAUACCCGGGUAGUCCCAGCUGUAAACGAUGCAAACUCGGUGAUGCAUUGGCUUAUGGCCAAUGCAGUGCCGCAGGGAAGCCGUUAAGUUUGCCGCCUGGGAAGUACGGACGCAAGUCUGAAACUUAAAGGAAUUGGCGGGGGAGCACCACAAGGGGUGAAGCCUGCGGUUCAAUUGGAUUCAACGCCGG